rnacentral:rRNA from 1 species
UACGUAGGGGGCAAGCGUUGUUCGGAAUUACUGGGCGUAAAGGGCGCGUAGGCGGCACAGCAAGUCGGGAGUGAAAGCCCGGGGCUCAACCCCGGAACGUCUUUCGAAACUGCUGAGCUCGAGUGCGGAAGAGGCAACUGGAAUUCCCAGUGUAGCGGUGAAAUGCGUAGAUAUUGGGAAGAACACCUGAGGCGAAGGCGGGUUGCUGGGCCGACACUGACGCUGAGGCGCGAGAGCCAGGGGAGCAAACGGG